GACGAACGCUGGCGGCGUGCCUAAUACAUGCAAGUUGAGCGCUGAAGGUUGGUACUUGUACCAACUGGAUGAGCAGCGAACGGGUGAGUAACGCGUGGGGCAUCUGCCUUUGAGCGGGGGACAACAUUUGGAAACGAAUGCUAAUACCGCAUAAAAACUUUAAACACAAGUUUUAAGUUUGAAAGAUGCAAUUGCAUCACUCAAAGAUGAUCCCGCGUUGUAUUAGCUAGUUGGUGAGGUAAAGGCUCACCAAGGCGAUGAUACAUAGCCGACCUGAGAGGGUGAUCGGCCACAUUGGGACUGGGACACGGCCCAAACUCCUACGGGAGGCAGCAGUAGGGAAUCUUCGGCAAUGGACGAAAGUCUGACCGAGCAACGCCGCGUGAGUGAAGAAGGUUUUCGGAUCGUAAAACUCUGUUGGUAGAGAAGAACGUUGGUGAGAGUGGAAAGCUCAUCAAGUGACGGUAACUACCCAGAAAGGGACGGCUAACUACGUG
rnacentral:rRNA from 1 species